CUAACUUCAACUUGUCUAACAUGUGAUCGCAUUUCCUAAAUGCGUCCUCUAACUGUGGUGGUGUAACUGGCCCUUUACCUCCAAAAUAUAAAUCCAAUAACCUUUUAUUUCAUAUAAUACGGGCUCUAGCUUCUUCUUCCCAUUUCGUACAAUACGGGUUCUAGCUUCUUCUUCCCCGGUACAUCUCAAGCCCGUAAUCAGGGCAAAUUCAAGGAUUGAGAAUCUACAUACCUUCCCGUCCCCAAUAGCAAAAUAUAACUGAUCGCCAUCGACUGGUUUAAGCAGCCGGAGUAAUAAAGAAUCAACAAUCUGUCC
rnacentral:lncRNA from 1 species